CAAAUACCGACAAAUACAAUCUCCCGAUAAAGAUUCUAUCCCAAAGCUGCCCCACCUAUCGUCCAAUUAGUUGGCGUUUUCCACUCAGAGGAGAAGAUGACGGUUAUGGCAAUGACGUAUUCACACUUCAACAUAGUCAACAUCGACUCAUGUUAAUAUUGACUUGAAUCUCAAUUUCAUUGAGGAUAAAAUUAAUUUGAGUUUUUAAACAAGAAAUUUUAUUGAAAUAGUCAAAGGGUUUAGUAAACUACAACAUGGAAGAAAAUAUGGAAAGGGGACUAUGGUAAGUGAAAUUGAUGUCAUUUUAAAGAAAUCCAUUGAAAUUUUUGCUUUCAAAAUCAGGUACAAUGGCAAGUUAACUAAAGUGGAUCUUCAGUCCCGAACCAAAAGAAAGAUUACUUAGACGCUCAUGCAAGAUUAUUUCGAUUAUGAAAAAUGAACUGCCAUAUGUGAGAUGAAAUGAGAUGUGAGAUGAAAUCAAUUAUGAAUGACAUAUACAACAACAAACAAA